UCCGGCCGCGGGCCGCCUUUGUUCCCUUGGUCCCCGGCAGCGGCCCGCCUCCCCCGCCGCGCGCCGGGGUUUUUCCAGGGCUCAACUGGAGCAUGGCGGUGCCGCCUCCCUCACUUCCCGACUCAGACCCCGGCCUCCUGCGCCCGGGCUCGGGCGGCGACCCCGGCAAGACCCCGAGAUCACCUGCGGGGAGCUGUGCCCUCUCCAGAUGCCCUGCUCGCUCCGUCCCUCCGGGUCCCUAAGCCCCACGUGUGCGCGCAAAGCUGACAGUCUCCUGGCCCGCACGCCUCCGCGCUUGGCGCCCCGAGCCCCUCCAGGGCUGCAAGUUGGGGGACGGGGAUCAGGCGGGUGCGGAGCCGGGCCGCCAAUGCCUCCAGGUUGUGGAAGGGCCUCACGUUUUCCCCAAGGGGUUGGGGUGCAGUCCGGGCGGUAUGUUUGGUGGUCCCCAAACAUACCUGGAGGGGAACCCACGAGCGCGCGCACACGGCCCGGCAAGCGGGGAGAUCACCCCCAGCCCACCGCGCGCUCGCCGCGCCCGCCCCCACGGGAAAAUGGGCACACUCGAGGGCAGUAAGCCCCGGAGCACCGAGAACCCCCUCCCAGCCAUCAGGAAGAAAAGGGAGAUAGGCAGGCAGAAAAGGGGCGAUGGGGAGAUGCAAGGGGCGCUGGAAUGUCCCAGGGAGUGAGGGCAGGAAUGGGGACUGUGUGACCGCGGCAAGCUGGGUCCUGUCGGCGCAGAGCAGUAAUGGGGGAGCCUGACUUCUCUGAAAGGGCCUCUCCUCCAGUUGCAUCUUUGUCAGCUCUAUCUGCUUCCUCCCAGUGUUAAGGCCCCCUCCCUCCCAGCCAUCGGAGCAUGAGGAAGCCUUGGUUCCACACAGCUGGGCUUCUUGCUCACAGGCUAACGCAGAUGCCCUUUGCCCUUGUGAAGUUGGUGGAAAGUUGCAGAAGCUGAAACGGAGCCGGUGGCUGGGCACCAGCCCCUGGAAUAGAGGAACUUUCACUGAGAGCAAGCUGUGACGUUGGGGCUGCCUACAGAGGGAACAAGAAAUUGAGGCCUCUCCCUGAUGCCCCCAAGAAACUGAAUUCUGCCAACCACCUCAUGAGCUUGCAAGCAGAUUCCUCCCCAGUCAAGCCUCAGAUGAGACCUCAGCCCUAGCCAAUACCUUGAUGGCAGCCCUGCAGAAGUCCCAGUCCAGGAUGUCCAGACUUCUGUGAGAAACUGUGAUAUAAUAAAUGUGUACUGCUUUAAGCUGCGA